AUCUUCAUUUUUCUUUGAAUGAACGCCUCAGAAUAGCAGACUCAUUCAUUAAAUGUUUGGGGGAGUGUCGCCCAAGUGACCCAGGUGUCCCCAAGUGUUACUGUCAACAGGUGACAAUCAGCACCACAACAACAACAAAGCAACACAAACAGCUGCACUGAGAAACAGCUCCCUGUACCUGCACACCAAACUCAGAGUAGCAGCCAAGCACCUGGGCAUCCCGAGCUCCAGUGUUGGCACUGAUGCUCAUGCAUGGGGAGAGUUGGGGGAGGAGGCGGGGAGGAGGCGCUGUGUUGGCUGACUACUUCAUUCACAAAGCCAUUCACUGUGCAAUUAACCAAAGAGAGGAAUUCCCCGGAGUGACGGAAGGGAGUCAUUUCCCCUGUUACAGCUAAUAAAGCACUAAUUGCCCUCUGGGUUGGGACGUGAGUUAUGAGCAGGAGCUGAGAAACCACAACAUAUUGACAGUCUGGUCAGUCUGCUCACAGACUCUAUUAGUCACACAGCACAGAAGCCUGCUAACUCCCCUCCUUUCCUGUGUUUAUUUCACAAAUGUGCAUGAGUGAGAGUAAAUUUGCCAGCCACUCCACUUCCCAGUUUGCUUGCCAGCAGUUUUCUCCAGCCAAGUUGAGCCACAGCUGUUUACAAAGAAGGUGUUUCUGUUGCUACAGCCAGCCGGCCUUGGAUCAUAGGUUUGGUUGAAGCAUUGACCAGGUACAGACUCCAGCUUUACGGAAUGUGUUGUGCAACAAUAUUAUGGGAAUAUUACACAGCACUGACCUGAACCUGCUGAGGAAUAACAGUUAAGGAUACCACCUUAACCAAAAACAAAGGGCAUUGCUAAUCCAGUGUCAUAAUAACAACAACAGAAAUCAUACACCUGUGUGACUUGUGACAGAAAACACAAUGGGAGGGGCCCCUUUGUGAUGCCAUCACUGUCUUUACUGGCUAAAAAAACUAGUUUCCAGGUAGAUUAAAGGUCUGCUGAAACCUGUGGGGAGCCAGUCCGGUUGUCACUAUUUAUCUGGUUGUCACCAUUUCAGGUCAUAGAUGUCUAAAGACUGUUAAGCUUCCAACACCACAUCCAGAAAAAAACCUGUUCUUUAUGGAUCCAUAUUUAUGUAAUAAAGAUGCACUGUGACACUAAUUGCUCUCUGAUUAUAAUAGGUAGCCUAGUGUCUGUAGUACUCCGUGCAUGAGUGUGCAGCUGGAGAGGCUAGUGGAGUGGUGUGCAUGUGAAACCGAAGCCCAUCCACACCUUGCCUCGUCUGCUCUCUCCUCUCCUCAAAGGCUUCAGCCCUCAGUGGCAUUUGUGUGAAUCCAACUUCUUGCCGCCAUGGUAACCAGAGCAGAGAGAGGAUUGGAUAUAAAUGAGAGAAAGUGAGAGGGCAUGACCCGAACAUCACACAGUCUCCCAUGAUGCUGUGUUUAGUAUUCUGGCUGAAUGAGCAGUGCUCACUCUGCUACAGUAAUAACUGGACAAUUUGGACUUAAUUAUCAUCUUCCUACUUACUUCAUUGUUUUAA